rnacentral:rRNA from 1 species
UUGACCUCGGAUCAGGUAGGAAUACCCGCUGAACUUAAGCAUAUCAAUAAGCGGAAGGAA